GACGAACGCUGGCGGCGUGCUUAACACAUGCAAGUCGAACGCUGAAGCUCAGCUUUUGUUGGGUGGAUGAGUGGCGAACGGGUGAGUAACACGUGAGUAACCUGCCCCCUUCUUUGGGAUAACGCCCGGAAACGGGUGCUAAUACUGGAUAUUCACUGGUCUUCGCAUGGGGGUUGGUGGAAAGGGUUUUUCUGGUGGGGGAUGGGCUCGCGGCCUAUCAGCUUGUUGGUGGGGUGAUGGCCUACCAAGGCUUUGACGGGUAGCCGGCCUGAGAGGGUGGCCGGUCACAGUGGGACAGAGGUACGGCCCAGACUGCGACGGGAGGCAGCAGUGGGGAAGAUUGAGCAAUGGGAGCAAGCCUGAUGCAGCGACGCGGCGUGAGGGAUGGAGGCGCUCGGGUUGUGAACCUCUUUCGCUCAUGGUCAAGCCGCAACAAUGGUGGUGGUGAGGGUAGUGGGUAAAGAAGCUCCGGCUAACUACGUG
rnacentral:rRNA from 1 species